rnacentral:lncRNA from 1 species
AUAGUUUGAUCUGUAAUUAUAUGACACAAACAAAAAUGUUGGUGAUGUAUACAUCUAAUUAACAAUAAAGAAAUGAAAAGUCGUAGUAUAUGAACUUUCACCUUAUCGAUGAAAAUUCGAUUUUCUAACUUGUAAUCAUGAAUCUCUAACAAUUCAAGCAGAUGAACAAAUCAUUUUAGCUGAUAGUACUACUGAUAAGGUUGAAAUUUGAAACCGAGUUUGUGAUUAAUUGUCAUUUGCCAUGCAUAUUGAAUCAAGAAUUUGAAACAAUAGACAAGAGAACAUCCAACAUUACAAACACGGUUUCAGUUUCAACCUUAUUAGAAGAACCAGUGUAUAGUAAGUUAUAUACUAUGAUCUUGUUAUUUGGUUGAUGUAUAAAUAAGGUCCUUUAGAAUGAACUAUUUAUAGUGGAAACAUAUAGCAUAAAAUUAUUAUUUUGGUUGGGAGUGAACUAUGACCCCUGUAGCAUGGCACCGGCCGCCUGAAGGAAUGCUCAAACUAAAUAUUGAUCAAAACUCGAAAAUGGGUGGAACCGGUGGAGUUAUAAGGGACCAUCUAGGCAGUUGGAUUGUAGGAUUUUCUUGCAAAGUAAAAGUCGUUAAUGCCCAUCAUGCGGAACUACUAGCUUUGCUCCAUGGUUUGAAUCUAGCACAGAAAAUAAACAUUAAUCAUUUGCUCGUGGAGAUCGACUCUCAGGUAUUACUUAACACCUUAGAAAGUACUAAACCAAUACACUCACACAUUUAUUCGGAUUGCAGGUCAAUGCUCCUACAGAUGGGAGGAUCAACAAUGAAGCAUAUAAUGAGGGAGGCUAACUCAUCAGUAGCAGACUUAUUAGCGGAAUAUGGAAGGAAGACUAUGGAUCCAAAUAUGCCUAUGAACAAGUUGUUUGUUUUUGAAGCAUCUCCCUCCUUUACACUAAAAGCUCUUGAAGGAGAUGCGAAUGGAACUAUAUCGUUUAGAUCAGUUCCUUUUUGUAUGGAUGAACCUACUAUUUAAUAAAUAAAAUCCUUUCCAAUUUCAAAGAAAAAAAAAUAUAGCAUAAAAUUAUUGAUGUGUUGAUGGAAAAUCCCUAUUCAAUUACUAGUAGCAUCGAGGGGUAACAUUUAAGAUUUUUUUACUAAAAAAAUAGUACUAGUAUAUUAUUAUCGUAACUUUUUAAUCAUGCAUGGUGACUACAUUUUCCAAGUGCCAUUAUAUCGAAGGAACAAUACAAUAACAUAAAAACAAAAUUGAUUUGUAUCAAUAUUGGUCCACUACUCUCACCAAGUAAAUAAUCAACAAUAAUUACAGAUUUCUUUUUGUUUGUUUCAUAUAGUGGUCCUAAUCAACAGUAAUUUCAAAUUUCUUUUAGUUUGUUUCAUUUUUAGUGGUCCUAUUUUGUGGAAUAUGGGCUAAACGUGUUAGUGUUUAAUUACAAGAAUUCAAGAAGGAUCUACACGUAACAAAAAUACUUGGGUGAAUUUAUAUAUAUGAUAGAGCUAAAAUUUAAAAUGUAUGACCCUACAUAUAUCACAACCAGUUAAAUGGAUUAGAUGUUAACUCGAUCAAGAAUUAUAAUAAGAUAAAUUAACGGUCUUAAAUUUGAGACUUGAGAAUAAAAAAAAUGAGUGAUUAGUUUAGUCUGGUUCAAAUACUUCCUCUUUCUUUUCUCUUUCUUUUUAUUUGGUUUACCCUUUUUUUUAGCAACUUUCACACAUAGCAAACAUAAAAAUCAUAUUUGUAUGUUAUAGUUAUAGUUUGUAUAAUUGUGCUCCAUACCAAACUUUAUGUUUGCUAUGGAGCAUCAGUUUGUAUAACUUGUUGACAAUGCUUCAGAUUUGUAUAAUUUCACUGGCAGACCAUUUGUAUAAAUCGCCGACAGCCUCUCGUUUGUAUAAAUCGCUGACAGCCUCUCAAUUCAAUUUUAUGUGUUUGUAUAUCUGCAUAAAAUUUGAAUUUGUAUAUAAUUGAAUCGAAAUAAAAUAUUUGUAUAUCAAAUCUCUCUCUCUCUCUCUCACUUUAUACAACAUAAAUUAUACAUUGUAAUUUGUAUAAUCUGUGUUUGUAUAAAGCGAGAAAGAGAGAAAGACAAAAGAGAACUGGGCAGGAGAAGAUCUGUAUUUGUAUAAUUAUAAGUGUAUAGGACGAAAAUAUAUGUAUUUGUAUUUGUAUAUAUAGUUUUCUCUCGCUUUAUACAAGCACAAACGCAUUUUAUACAUUUGUGUUUGUAUAAAUGCGAGAGAGGCGAGGGAGAGACUGGCGAGCGAGAAACCUAGGGAGAGAGGCGAAUGGCAACAGUUUUGUAGCGACCCUUUCGAAAGGAUACUACCACUUAAACAAGAAAUCUAAUUAAACUUGAGACAUUUAAAAGAGGUUAACUAUGGCCAUAUUGAUUUUAAUCUAGUAGAGGGAUUAGGUUCAUAACGAAUAAUUUAGUUAAGGAUAUACAUCUUGCCCAUUUAAACAUAAGAGUUAUAGGUAUACGAAUUAGCUUUCCAAAACAUAUUUAUUCACUGAAAAGUGAGUUCUAGAGAACGAGAUAUUCCAAAAGUACUAAACACUACUUAGCUCAAAAACAGAUUUCGACUACUCACCAAAGAGAAGGGUGUAUCCCGAAUUCCAGCCAAAAGGACCAAGUUUUUCUCUUGUGAUUUUGAGAGUAAUAUGGUUAGAGAGAGUUCACCAGGUUUCUUAGAGCUAAGGAACACGAAUUUCACUAUAGAAGAGGUGUAAACAUAUAGUCUCAAGAGUGAUGUUUAUCACAUGCACAUCUGUCUCCAAAAGGUGGCUGCCC